rnacentral:tmRNA from 1 species
GUGCCAUACUUCACAGGUCGAUCCUUCGGGGCCGACUAGGUGAUCCACACCGGUGUUUCGGACAGCGGUUCGAUUCCGCUCAGCUCCAUUCACCCCGCUCCCGGCGCCAUCGGGAGCCCAUCAGGGGGCUGCAAUGGUUUCGACGGGGCAUGAGGAGGGUGACUGAAGCCUGCUCGGUAAGAGCAAACCCGUAACAGCGAACAACAUCGUUCGUUUCUCCCGUCAAGCCGCCCCUGUGGCUGCCUGACACUCUUAACGGAGACGGGGUGAGGUCAGCCUUGUCACCCAAAUGACCCGUGGGGCCCUGGAAGGGGCC